rnacentral:rRNA from 1 species
AGAGUUGAUCCUGGCUCAGGAUGAACGCUGGCGGUCUGCUUAACACAUGCAAGUCGAACGGAAUCCUUCGGGAUUUAGUGGCGGACGGGUGAGUAACGCGUGAGAAUCUGCCUUCAGGUUCGGGACAACAGCUGGAAACGGCUGCUAAUACCGGAUGUGCCGAGAGGUGAAAGCUUAAGUGCCUGGAGAUGAGCUCGCGUCUGAUUAGCUAGUAGGAGUGGUAACGGCACCCCUAGGCGACGAUCAGUAGCUGGUCUGAGAGGAUGAUCAGCCACACUGGGACUGAGACACGGCCCAGACUCCUACGGGAGGCAGCAGUGGGGAAUUUUCCGCAAUGGGCGCAAGCCUGACGGAGCAAGACCGCGUGAGGGAAGAAGGUCUGUGGAUUGUAAACCUCUUUUGAUAGGGAAGAAGACAGUGACGGUACCUAUCGAAUCAGCCUCGGCUAACUCCGUGCCAGCAGCCGCGGUAAUACGGAGGAGGCAAGCGUUAUCCGGAAUUAUUGGGCGUAAAGAGUCCGUAGGUGGGUAACCAAGUCAGCUGUUAAAUAGUGAAGCUUAACUUCAUAGAGGCGGCUGAAACUGGUUGUCUAGAGUGUGGUAGGGGUAGAGGGAAUUUCCAGUGUAGCGGUGAAAUGCGUAGAUAUUGGAAAGAACACCGGUGGCGAAAGCGCUCUACUGGGCCUGCACUGACACUGAGGGACGAAAGCUAGGGGAGCGAAAGGGAUUAGAUACCCCUGUAGUCCUA